AUGAAGAAAAAAAAAGUAGUGGUGGUGGUGGUGGCAUGGUUUUUAUUUAAAUAUAUAUAUAUAUAUAUUAAGAACGGGAGGAGAUGAUGAUCAAAUACCUGGUGGGAGGAAUGAAUUUAGAGACAACAACUACCGUCUUUAUGCUACAUGGGG
rnacentral:ribozyme from 1 species